rnacentral:rRNA from 1 species
GUCCAGACUCCUACGGGAGGCAGCAGUGAGGAAUAUUGGUCAAUGGCCGAGAGGCUGAACCAGCCAAGUCGCGUGAGGGAUGACGGCCCUACGGGUUGUAAACCUCUUUUGCCGGGGAGCAAAGAGCGGGACGCGUCCCGCCUCGAGAGUACCCGGAGAAAAAGCAUCGGCUAACUCCGUGCCAGCAGCCGCGGUAAUACGGAGGAUGCGAGCGUUAUCCGGAUUUAUUGGGUUUAAAGGGUGCGUAGGCGGACUGGAAAGUCAGCGGUAAAAUCGAGAGGCUCAACCUCUUUCCGCCGUUGAAACUGUCGGUCUUGAGUGGGCGAGAAGUAUGCGGAAUGCGUGGUGUAGCGGUGAAAUGCAUAGAUAUCACGCAGAACUCCGAUUGCGAAGGCAGCAUACCGGCGCCCGACUGGCGCUGAGGCACGAAAGCGUGGGUAUCGAACAGGAUUAGAUACCCCGGUAC